CUAUAUAGAGAAUGAAAAAUGGCUAUCGGUACUCAACCGGUACUGAAAGUAAAAAAGAAUAAACUUAAUAAUAGUUCCAAGUGGGUUACAUUUGGGCAAAAAAUUAGACCGUAGUUUGAAGCUGC
rnacentral:sRNA from 1 species